GACGAACGCUGGCGGCGUGCCUAAUACAUGCAAGUCGAGCGGACUUUCAAGAAGCUUGCUUUUUGAAAGUUAGCGGCGGACGGGUGAGUAACACGUGGGCAACCUGCCUGCAAGACGGGGAUAACUCCGGGAAACCGGGGCUAAUACCGGAUAAUAUCUUCCUUCGCAUGAAGGAAGGUUGAAAGGCGGCGCAAGCUGCCGCUUGCAGAUGGGCCCGCGGCGCAUUAGCUAGUUGGUGAGGUAACGGCUCACCAAGGCGAAGAUGCGUAGCCGACCUGAGAGGGUGAUCGGCCACACUGGGACUGAGACACGGCCCAGACUCCUACGGGAGGCAGCAGUAGGGAAUCUUCCGCAAUGGACGAAAGUCUGACGGAGCAACGCCGCGUGAGCGAAGAAGGUCUUCGGAUCGUAAAGCUCUGUUGUCAGGGAAGAACAAGUACCGUUCGAACAGGGCGGUACCUUGACGGUACCUGACCAGAAAGCCACGGCUAACUACGUG
rnacentral:rRNA from 1 species